GCAGAUUUUAGACUUUUCAGCCUCGAAAAUCAUGCUCCCUGCCAAUAGGCUGCAUGGGUAGCAAUGGAGUCUCACUGAUAAUUCAAAAGGUGGAAGAGGAG